GUUGUUGGGUUGCCCGAGUAGCAGCGGGCUCGUGGAAUCUGCUGUGAAUCUGCCGGGACCACCCGGUAAGCCUAAAUACUCAGUGUGACCGAUAGUGUAUUAGUACCGUGAGGGAAUGGUGAAAAGUACCCCGGGAGGGGAGUGAAAUAGUUCCUGAAACCAUGUGCUUACAAUCCGUCAGAGCACUUUUUUGUGUGUGAUGGCGUGCCUUUUGAAGAAUGAGCCUGCGAGUCAGCGGCAUGUCGCGAGGUUAACCCGUGUGGGGUAGCCGUAGGGAAACCGAAUCCUAAUGGGGUGUUUGAGUGGCAUGUCCUGGACCCGAAGCGGGGUGAUCUACCCAUGGCCAGUGUGAAGCAGUAGUAAGAUGCUGUGGAGGCGCGAACCCACGUAGGUUGAAAACUGCGGGGAUGAGUUGUGGGUAGGGGUGAAAGGCCAAUCAAACUCCGUGAUAGCUGGUUCUCCCCGAAAUGCAUUUAGGUGCAGCGUCGCAUUAGCUUGGUGGAGGUAGAGCUACUGGUUGGUUGAGCGGGACUACAAUCUUAGCAAUGUCAGCCAAACUCCGAAUGCCAUCAAUUGUGUUGUGCGGCAGUGAGACUGUGGGGGAUAAGCUUCAUAGUCGAGAGGGAAACAGCCCAGAUCGCCGGUUAAGGCCCCUAAGGGUGUGCUAAGUGGAAAAGGAUGUGGGAUCGCGAAGACAGCCAGGAGGUUGGCUUAGAAGCAGCCAUCCUUGAAAGAGUGCGUAAUAGCUCACUGGUCGAGUGGUCCUGCGCCGACAAUGUAGUGGGGCUCAAGCACACCGCCGAAGCCGCGGCAAACUUUUUGUUUGGGUAGGGGAGCGUCGUGCAUGUGUUGAAGCGUUACCGUAAGGAGGCGUGGAGUGUGUGCGAGUGAGAAUGCAGGCAUGAGUAACGAAUUGGAAGGUGAGAAUCCUUCCCGCCGGAUGACUAAGGGUUCCUGGGUCAAGUUCGUCUUCCCAGGGUGAGUCGGGACCUAAGGCGAGGCCGACAGGCGUAGUCGAUGGACAACCAGUUGAUAUUCUGGUACCCGUAUAUCCGCGCCCAUGAUAAAGCACUGAUACUAACCACCGCGGAUACGACUUAUGUGUUCUUUGAACAUGUUGGUUGUUGAUGUCGUGGGGCCUGAUGUGUGGUUCAAGUGAUGGGGUGACACAGUGUAGUAGCCAUGCCGCUUAGUGGAUUGUUGGUGUAAGCGUGUGAGGUGGUGUGUAGGCAAAUCCGCACACCGUAUGCCUGAGGCGUGAUGCGUAGCCCAAUUGGGGUGAAGUUGGUGAUCUAGUACUGUCGAGAAAAGCCUCUAGCGAUGUGGAUGUAUGGCCCGUACCCUAAACCGACACAGGUGGUCAGGUUGAAAAUACUAAGGCGUUCGGGUGAACUGUGGUUAAGGAACUCGGCAAAAUGCCCCCGUAACUUCGGGAGAAGGGGGACCACACGACUUAAGCCAGCCUUUGCGUUGGUGGUGGGUUGUGGGGUCGCAGAGAAUAGAGGGAAGCGACUGUUUAUCAAAAACACAGGUCCAUGCGAAGACGUUAAGUUGAUGUAUAUGGACUGACGCCUGCCCGGUGCUGGAAGGUUAAGAGGACCGGUUAGU
rnacentral:rRNA from 1 species